UUUCCUAUUAUUAUAUUGAUGAACCACUUUAGGCUUGUUACUUUUAUCUAGAGGAAUUUGUUCUUUAGCUUUUACAAAAAUGGUCUUGUUAGAAAUAUGUUUAGCAAAUUUUGAAUAACCUAAACCACUUUUAUCAUUUGAGUAUCUUUGACUACUAAGAACAUGUUCCAAUCUGAUUUGACCUUGUUCAUAUCUUUCAAUAACUCUCUUCAAUUGAACUAUUUG
rnacentral:lncRNA from 1 species